ACUUGGAAUUUACACUGGGAGAUUCACUGGAGAAAGAAGGAAGAGAAGCAAAACACUCUGAGGUUUCCUUGGAAAAAACCUUGAGGAAAAAGAAAGAGAGAGAACAGAGAAGGACAGAUAGAAACUUUGGCAUAGGAACCCUGCCAACCCGGAGAAUUCAGAAUAAAGAAACCCUGAAGGCAGCUCAUCCGCCCCGAAGCCAUCGCCGUCCAAUUCCCGCUGCCUAACUUAUUCCGAUACUACAAGUG
rnacentral:lncRNA from 1 species